UGAAAGCCACUUGAUCUAAUUUUUUAAAAUCAUUUCAUCUGAACCAGCUACAGAUGACUGAUUGUAAACUGAAUAGCUUUACAGCCUCCAUGAGCUGAUCUCAUCUCACA